ACAACUUGGUUUUAUACAUUUUAGGGAGAUAUGACACAUCAAUCAAUACAUGUAAGAUGUACAUUGGUUUGGUCGGGAAAGGCAGGACAACUCAAGGCAGGAGAGGGAGCUUCCAGGUCAUAGGUAGAUAAGAGAAAAAGGGUUGCAUUCUUUUGAGUCUCUGAUUAGCCUUUCACUGAAUACACAAGAUACAGGAAUAGUCACUUAUGUCUUAGUCUGGCUUAGUGAAAUGAUAGAACAGAAAAGCCACUGGGUAUGCAUUUGUCCCAGGUGAGCAGAGGGGUGACUUUGAGUUCUGUCUCUCCUUUGUUCACAAGGAAUUUUCUUGUGGGGAAAUUGUAAGGGAGGUAUGUGACUUUUUUACCUUUGUAGAUAUCUUAUUUAGGAAUAAAAUGAGAGGCAGGUUUGCCUGACAUAGUUUCCAGCUUGACUUUUCCCUUUGGCUUCGUGAUUUGGGGGUCCCAAGAUUUACUCUCCUUUCACAGCCUGGGCAUGAGUGCAUGUGUGGUUCUGUGGGUGAGGGUGAUGUGAGUAUAGUGUGAGUGUGCCUGUGUGUGAAGGUAGUGUGUGUCUGUGUGUGAAAGUAGUGUGUGUGUGUCUGUGUGUGAAGGUGGUGUGUGUGUUGUAGUGUGUGUCUAUGUAUGAGGACAGUGUACUGGGAACACUUGGGCCGGAAGGGAGGAGGUGGUUGGAUCAUGCCUGAAGGAUGUGAACAGUGGCAGCUCCAGUUUUCAAAGGCAGGCAAUUGAAUCAGGGAGGACAGAUGGCACGCAGGGGAGGGCACAACAAGAUCAGGAGGAGAUUGCCUGGGCAAGGUCCCCCAUUUCUUUCAUUGCCUUCUUUUCUCAGGCAGGAAUGGUCUCACGGGGAGCACAAGAAGGAAGCCAGCCAGAUCAGCCCCAUUCAUGCUGGUGAUCAGUGGAGUUACUAGAAGUCACUCUCAGAUUGUCUUCACAGCCUACAUCCUGCAGCCCGCAGAAAUCCACAUGCUCUUGACAGUAAAAAGGGCCUUCGAAUAGCUUCCUAGAGCCUAGUCAAAUAAAGUCCAUUGAAAAUGUAUUCAAGACUUUUCAAUUAUUUACGUCACUUAGAAUAACGGUUGAAGGAGGAGCCAAGAUGGCCGAAUAGGAAGCGUUCCAGCCUACAGCUCCCAGCAUGAGUGACACAGAAGACGGGUGAUUUCUG
rnacentral:lncRNA from 10 species